CGUGGGAAAUCUGCCGAGUAGCGGGGGACAACGUUUGGAAACGAACGCUAAUACCGCAUAACAAUGAGAAUCGCAUGAUUCUGAUUUAAAAGAAGCAACUGCUUCACUACUUGAUGAUCCCGCGUUGUAUUAGCUAGUUGGUAGUGUAAAGGACUACCAAGGCGAUGAUACAUAGCCGGCCUGAGAGGGUGAACGGCCACACUGGGACUGAGACACGGCCCAGACUCCUACGGGAGGCAGCAGUAGGGAAUCUUCGGCAAUGGGGGCAACCCUGACCGAGCAACGCCGCGUGAGUGAAGAAGGUUUUCGGAUCGUAAAACUCUGUUGUUAGAGAAGAACGUUAAGUAGAGUGGAAAGUUACCUAAGUGACGGUAUCUAACCAGAAAGGGACGGCUAACUACGUGCCAGCAACCGCGGUAAUACGUAGGUCCCGAGCGUUGUCCGGAUUUAUUGGGCGUAAAGCGAGCGCAGGUGGUUCCUUAAGUCUGAUGUAAAAGGCAGUGGCUCAACCAUUGUGUGCAUUGGAAACUGGGGAACUUGAGUGCAGGAGAGGGGAGUGGAAUUCCAUGUGUAGCGGUGAAAUGCGUA
rnacentral:rRNA from 1 species